GGCGUAAAGAGUGGUUAAGCAGCCCCCCCCCUAACUAAAGCCAAACGCCCCCAAAGCCGUUAUACGCACUCCGAAGGGCAGAGGACUCCCCACGAAGGUGGCUUUAAACCAGCUGAACCCACGAAACCUAUAGAACAAACUGGGAUUAGAUACCCCACUAUGUAUAGCUAUAAACUUUGAUAGACCCCUACACGUCUAUCCGCCCGGGGAAUUACGAGCACCAGCUUAAAACCCAAAGGACUUGGCGGUACCUUAGAUCCCCCUAGAGGAGCCUGUUCUAGAACCGAUACUCCCCGUCUAACCUCACCACCCCUAGCCCCCCAACCGCCUAUAUACCGCCGCCCCCAGCUCACCCCGUGAGGGAUUAAAAGUAAGCAAGACUGAUAUAGCCAAAGACGUCAGGUCGAGGUGUAGCGCAUGGGGUGGGAAGCAAUGGGCUACAUUCUCUGACCCAAAAUAUACGAAAAGGGUGUUGAAAACACACCCCUAAAGGAGGAUUUAGCAGUAAGAGGAAAACAGAGUGUUUCCCUGAAG
rnacentral:rRNA from 1 species